UCACCAAACUGCAUGGGGACAUGAAAGUUGUUUCAAAGUUUCAUAUGAUAAAUGUUCUCACAUUUACACCCUCCUGUGAAAUUAUCUGAUUUGGAAAUCUGGAAUAAAACACUGUUACUAAAUGCUCCUAAAUUUCUCUGCAGUAAAUCUGUACAAAUCUUAUCCUGAGACACUUUAUCUCCUUCUCUCCCAAGAGAUUCCAAAGAGACUCUGUAGCCUGGAAUAUUACUCCCUCAAAGUGUCUGCAGAAGACAAGGUUAUCCGUAUCGGAGCAGCAUGGUUUGGAGUUGUGUCCAGUCUAUUAGGUCCCAAGAGCAAGCUUCUGCAAACAUGUGUGGACUCUCUCGAAACCCCUGUGGCAGAAUGGCGCUGGUGACUAUAUGUGGUACUUUGAAUAAGAAUGGCCCCAUGGGCUCAUAAUUUGCUCAGUCACCUGGAAGUGGAACUCUUCCAUAGGAAGAAAGGAGAUGUGGCCAACUAAGUUCCUCUUUCUUUCAGGCUGUGGAUUAAGAUAUAGCUCUCAGCUACGGCUCCAAUGCCAUGCAUGCCGCCAUGCUCCCCACCAUGAUGGCAAUGGACUAAACCUCUGAAGCUGUAGACAAGGCCCCAAUUAAAUGGUCAUGAUGUCCUUUCACAGUAAUAGAACAGUGACAAAGACACUGAGGGUUAAUGUUGGCUUCCACCAAGGACAAACAACAAUACUGUAGUGGAGAAAGGAGGAGUUUGACCUUCAUUCUAACCAAGAGGCCUCUUCCCAGAAGAAGACCUGGGGUCUCGGGUCUAUUGGAAGAAGUGGCAGAAAUGGAGAUCCCCCCAGGAGCAGGCAAGAGGUUGAGUAAUAUAUCUUUUAAGGGGUUGGCUGGAUGUUUCCACAUGAUAGUCGCUUGUUGGAACUUAGGGCCAGGGGAGAAACAGAGGACUGAGAAUCAAGCACCAGUAUUGAUGAGGAAACUGAUCUGGUACUCACCUGCAGUUGUUAUUGUCCAAGGCCCCUCAAAAUAUACUUUGGGGGAGGAGCCUAUAUAGGGAGCCCUGAGACCCAUCAUUGAUGGGAGAGGAAGAGAAGACUUCUGCCUCAAUGGAUUCUUGGGGCAUUGAUCCUUCCAGUGAUUGCUUUUACAGAUGGGGCAGGGUCCCAGGGUGGCCUACAUCUCUGAGGACACUACCUUUGGAGAUGGCCUUCCCACUCAGAAAAGGCAGGACCCAGUUUAGACCAUGUUCCCUCGGGAGCCUCCUUGAUGGCAGCCAGCAGUUUGUCAAGACUCUUGUUGCUGCGUCUUUCCUUCUAUAUAUCCGUGCUUUGCUGUUCCUGAUCACGGUUACAAAAGACCACAGUAGUGGCCUGAACCAAACCAUGUGGUGGCUUGCCUGGCUCCAUGGCCCGCUUCUGAAGAUUUUACCAGUGACUGGCUGCGUCUACAAAACACCUCCACACUUAAGGCUCCAAGAACACAGUAGAGGAGGGGCUGAAAAAUGUUCCCAGCUCCAAAUCUUCAGAUGUGAGGACACAACAUGGAGUGCCCUCAGAAACCCGGAAAGUACGUGGGGAACAUGGUGUGGGUGCAAAUCAGGAGGGGGAGAGCAGGAUGCCGAGGAUGUGAUACAGAAAAUGAAGACACAGAUGAAGAAGGGCGAGUAGAGACAAAUGACACCCAGAUUGUUUGUUAAAGCCUCAAGGAAUCUUAUUAUUUUGUAUUUACCUAAAAUAAUACACAAUAUAUAGACUAACAAAAACUCCAGUACCAAGCAUGAGAAUUCUCCCUUAAAAUGGUUGGUCAGAAUAGUCUUCCAGACAAUAUACGCUAUGAGUGACUUCCAGACAGUAUAGAUUUUGGCUGUUGUCCUUGUUUCCUCUCAGGGGUUGAAUUAAGCCCCUCUUUCUGAUGACUCUGCACACUUAGGACACAAGACUUAGAUUAUUGGAGCUGGAUCUAACCUGAAAGCUUCCAUAGUAUCAUAAAAUACCAUACAAGCUGCCAAGGGAGGGAAGCAAUUAAUAUCCUACCAAGCUGUGACACCUACUGUCCAGCAUGACAAGAUAUCCAUAAAGGUACUAUAAUUGGCACUCAUGUGUCAUGGGUAACCAACAGCUGUCUAGUUGGAUAUAAGACCCACUUAACAGGAGGAAAAUCAUGCCUGGUACUGGGAAGCUAGGCAACUUCCCAUGGGUAGUGAGGUCAUAGAUCUUAGAGAGGCUCUACUAUCACCACUUUACUAGACCAACCUAAUUCCUAACUACACUCUACAUCUUCUCUUUAUACCCACAGAGAAGUGCAGCUCUCGCCCUUCAUCAAAGAAGCCUCUCUUGACAGCAAAUGGAGAGCCUCACAGAAAACCACAACUGGACACAAUGCAGAGCUCAAUGGAUCAUGGGAGCCCAGCCACAGUGGAUGCAUCUAUACCACAAUCCCUGCAUCUAUGGUUCAGGGAACAUCGCGGAAGAGGGAAUGGGAAGAUUGUAAGAGCCAGAGUACCAGGAAGUCUGCUGUGAAACAGCCUCUCCUAGGAACAGCUGCAUAGACAAGUGGCAAUAUCAGUAGACAUGCUAAUGUUGAAUGGGAACAUCUCACAGGGUCACACUCCUGGACAAGGAACUUCAGGAAACUCAAAGUUGAGUAUCCGUGACUUGCUUUUCCUUUCCUUUCCCUGCAUAUUCUCACCUAGGUGGUAAUGUGCAAUGGCUUUUUUAUUGUUAUUAUUUGGGAAUUUCACAUCAGGAACCCCAGUCACUCUAAUUUCUCAGUCCACUCAUGUCUGCCUUCCCUCCUUUAUAACCCCUCCCCCCCAAAAAAAAUAAAAGUUUUUUUUUAAGUCCAA